GUCAAGUCUGUAUUUGCAGAGGAUGUCAAGAUAUGAGCAGAUGCACAAAUCCAAGUAACUAUUUCGACUGCCAACUGUAUUGCAUGUACGGCCCAAGAGGGUACAGAUACAGUUGCAAGUGUCCUCCUGGACAUUCCCUAGGUUACGGUAGAUGCUACCCAGAUGACUUUUUUGAAGGAAAAUCUCGGACCAAGAAGAUUAUCAUGAUAGCUUGUGGUUCAGGUCUUGGAUUGUUGUUAUUAAUUAUUGG
rnacentral:misc_RNA from 1 species